rnacentral:rRNA from 1 species
CACGCCGUAAACGAUGAAUACUAGGUGUCGGGGGGUACCACCCUCGGUGCCGCAGCAAACGCAAUAAGUAUUCCGCCUGGGGAGUACGGUCGCAAGAUUAAAACUCAAAGGAAUUGACGGGGACCCGCACAAGCAGCGGAGCAUGUGGUUUAAUUCGAAGCAACGCGAAGAAUCUUACCUAGACUUGACAUCUCCUGAAUUACUCGUAAUAGAGGAAGCCCUUCGGGGCAGGAAGACAGGUGGUGCAUGGUUGUCGUCAGCUCGUGUCGUGAGAUGUUGGGUUAAGUCCCGCAACGAGCGCAACCCUUAUCGUUAGUUGCUACCAUUAAGUUGAGCACUCUAGCGAGACUGCCUGGGUUAACCAGGAGGAAGGUGGGAAUGACGUCAAAUCAUCAUGCCCCUUAUGUCUAGGGCUACACACGUGCUACAAUGGCCGGUACAACGAGAAGCAAACCCGUGAGGGGGAGCCAAACUAAAAAACCGGUCCCAGUUCGGAUUGUAGGCUGAAACUCGCCUACAUGAAGUUGGAGUUGCUAGUAAUCGCGAAUCAGAAUGUCGCGGUGAAUACGUUCCCGGGUCUUGUACACACCGCCCGUCACACCAUGAGAGCCGGUAACACCCGAAGCCUGUGAGGUAACCGCAAGGAGCCAGCAGUCGAAGGUGGGAUUGGUGAUUGGGGUGAAGUCGUAACAAGGUAACCA